GGUGGUGGAUCAGGGUCCGUGAAGCAUGUUGCCAAAUCGAACUCCAUAUCAUCAAUGAGCCGCUGAUUUUGUGCUCCAGCCUCUGCCAUCUUUUGAAUCUGCACUACUAUGAAGUCUGUCUGGGUGGCCUGUCUUUCUAAACCACUCAGGAACUAUUGAAAUAUACUGUCCAACUGCCCAACUGUGCCUUCGUUUCUUCUUGAAACCGCACAAACUCAG
rnacentral:lncRNA from 1 species